CCUGCAAACAUUCGGACUCGCUUACCCUCACGUAUCACCUGACACGAGUUUAUCUCGCCCAUUUGCCUCUCUCAUAUGAAGACCUGAGAGAGAGAGAGAGAGAGAGAGAGAGAGAGAGAGAGAGAGAGAGACCGGCAAAAUUGCGAGUAUUGUGGUGAUUACAGCAAGAAAACAAGAUAAGAAUGCUACUAAUAAUACUGUAAGCAGCACGACUUCAACUCUACACGAAAGUAGCCCAGGAUACAAAAAGGCAUCACUUCCCGGACACAGUUGUGGAGCUGUGGCAAUUGGAGCGGCACAAAAUCGUCAGCAGGCGUGCGGCGAAAGUAACCACAUGGGCGUUCCUGUGACAGUUGCAGCCAACGCCUCUAGCCUGCGCUUCCCUCCACUAGUCCCCGUGACUGCUGGUCGGUGCUUCAGAUACGCGUAAUCACACUUCACUCUCCACACACACCGUCCCACGCACCAUAAUGCCGGGUCAGCUGACUACGAGUAAAUGACUGAGGAGUGCUCACCUAUCGUCUUGGUGAAGAAGUAGCCCCAGAAGAAGGUGCCCAGGAUGAUCCCUUGCUCCUUCACCGUCCACGCGAAGUCACCCGCGCCCUGAAGUGUGGCCAAGCAUCAAUCAAAUCAACUACUACUACUACUACUACUACUACUACUACUACUACGGCAACAACAACAAUUACCACUACUCCUACCACUGACCACUGGGUAACUAUCGGAUCCAUUGAUGGCCGCGGGACAGGCGUGGUCGGGCGUGAAGUUCUGGCUGGCGGGGCGAGUGGAGUUGGUCAUGGCGAUGAUAGCAACGCUGAGGCCGAAUCUCAUGAGAUAGUCCAGCAUGCAACCCAGCAGACCCAGCACCACCACCACGUAGCGGAUGGGCACCCAGCAGACCCAUCGCUCCCCUGCCGAUUUAAACAUUAAGAUUAGCAAGACUUACUAUGACUCCUUUCAAGAGGGAAGCUUCAAGACUUUUCGCCAGUUUUAGAUCAUUGUUUUCACUUCCCUUUAAUGAUUGAUACCUCAGUGGGCUUUUCCUUACUCUUUCUGUUCAAUCUUUUAGCCGGGGCCCUUCUUAAUUUGAAAAUAAGGAAAAUGCUUCUUCUUUUGGCCGUUCCCUUUUAGGAAUCGCCACAGAGGAUAAAUCAUCUUUAUUGCGCUGGGUCUUCUACGCCUUUCUCAUGUUUUUAUUUAUUUAUCUAUUUAUUUAUUUAUAUUGCACCCAUAAACCUUCUUUCUUCAGGACUUCCUCUAGGUCGGGUUCCUGCCAGGUAGAUCCAUCUCCAGCAUCCUCCUCCCCGUACACCCCUCCUCUCUCCUUUUGACAUCCCCGAACCAAAGGAGACAAGCCUGUGUGUGUGUGUGUGUGUGUGUGUGUGUGUGUGUGUGUGUGUGUGUGUGUGUGUGUGUGUGUGUCCUCGUCAGACUAUUAUCAUCAGUUCAGUCCUC